AUUGAACGCUGGCGGCAUGCCUUACACAUGCAAGUCGAACGGCAGCACGGAGCUUGCUCUGGUGGCGAGUGGCGAACGGGUGAGUAAUAUAUCGGAACGUACCCUGGAGUGGGGGAUAACGUAGCGAAAGUUACGCUAAUACCGCAUACGAUCUAAGGAUGAAAGUGGGGGAUCGCAAGACCUCAUGCUCGUGGAGCGGCCGAUAUCUGAUUAGCUAGUUGGUAGGGUAAAAGCCUACCAAGGCAUCGAUCAGUAGCUGGUCUGAGAGGACGACCAGCCACACUGGAACUGAGACACGGUCCAGACUCCUACGGGAGGCAGCAGUGGGGAAUUUUGGACAAUGGGCGCAAGCCUGAUCCAGCAAUGCCGCGUGAGUGAAGAAGGCCUUCGGGUUGUAAAGCUCUUUUGUCAGGGAAGAAACGGUGGGAGCUAAUAUCUCCUGCUAAUGACGGUACCUGAAGAAUAAGCACCGGCUAACUACGUGCCAGCAGCCGCGGUAAUACGUAGGGUGCAAGCGUUAAUCGGAAUUACUGGGCGUAAAGCGUGCGCAGGCGGUUUUGUAAGUCUGAUGUGAAAUCCCCGGGCUCAACCUGGGAAUUGCAUUGGAGACUGCAAGGCUAGAAUCUGGCAGAGGGGGGUAGAAUUCCACGUGUAGCAGUGAAAUGCGUAGAUAUGUGGAGGAACACCGAUGGCGAAGGCAGCCCCCUGGGUCAAGAUUGACGCUCAUGCACGAAAGCGUGGGGAGCAAACAGGAUUAGAUACCCUGGUAGUCCACGCCCUAAACGAUGUCUACUAGUUGUCGGGUCUUAAUUGACUUGGUAACGCAGCUAACGCGUGAAGUAGACCGCCUGGGGAGUACGGUCGCAAGAUUAAAACUCAAAGGAAUUGACGGGGACCCGCACAAGCGGUGGAUGAUGUGGAUUAAUUCGAUGCAACGCGAAAAACCUUACCUACCCUUGACAUGGCUGGAAUCCUUGAGAGAUCAGGGAGUGCUCGAAAGAGAACCAGUACACAGGUGCUGCAUGGCUGUCGUCAGCUCGUGUCGUGAGAUGUUGGGCUAAGUCCCGCAACGAGCGCAACCCUUGUCAUUAGUUGCUACGAAAGGGCACUCUAGUGAGACUGCCGGUGACAAACCGGAGGAAGGUGGGGAUGACGUCAAGUCCUCAUGGCCCUUAUGGGUAGGGCUUCACACGUCAUACAAUGGUACAUACAGAGCGCCGCCAACCCGCGAGGGGGAGCUAAUCGCAGAAAGUGUAUCGUAGUCCGGAUUGUAGUCUGCAACUCGACUGCAUGAAGUUGGAAUCGCUAGUAAUCGCGGAUCAGCAUGUCGCGGUGAAUACGUUCCCGGGUCU
rnacentral:rRNA from 1 species